UACGUAGGGUGCGAGCGUUUGUCCGGAAUUAUUGGGCGUAAAGAGCUUGUAGGUGGUUUGUCGCGUCUGCUGUGAAAAUCCGAGGCUCAACCUCGGACUUGCGGUGGGUACGGGCAGACUAGAGUGAUGUAGGGGAGACUGGAAUUCCUGGUGUAGCGGUGAAAUGCGCAGAUAUCAGGAGGAACACCGAUGGCGAAGGCAGGUCUCUGGGCAUUAACUGACGCUGAGGAGCGAAAGCAUGGGGAGCGAACAGG
rnacentral:rRNA from 1 species